CCUGGCACAUAGUGAGCGCUUAACAAAUACCACAAUUAGUAGUCCGGCAGCUCGUCAAGAAGGGGAUUGUGCCGGGCUGCUCCUGCUCUUCUCUCGGCCUCCGCCCUCCUCUGGGUUGGCCCAGCCCCAUGCCCACUCAGAACCGGACCUGCUCUUCGUCUCUCCAUCCUGGGAAACUGGGCCCAGCCCCAAUCUGUACUGACCAGCUGGAGGAUGGAGGCCCCAGCCUCUCCUGGACAGAUGCUCCCUCACCACCCCAGAGGAGGCCGGCGUGGCCACAGCUCGUGCUGAGCCCUUUAGGGCAGCGAAGCGGAUCGCGAGGAGGCAAAACAGCACCCAGGGGGACAGCCAGGACCCGCUGCCUGCAGAGGAGAGACUGACCGCUUCCCGGCUGCGCCCCUGCCCUGGACUGUGCUGCCCCUGGGCAUGGGACUGUGCCCCCCACUCCAGCCUGACAAUGCUGCCUCCUUUGACCCCAAACACUGGGCCAAUCCCAAUCCCCAAGAGAUUCCCUGCUCCUCCGGGGGAGAGGGGUGUGUGUGUGUGUGUGUGUGUGUGGCACACCAGGGUGAGGGUGUA